AACAAACGCUGGCGGCGUGCCUAAUACAUGCAAGUCGAACGUCGAAAGUUUUCGGAUGAGUAGAAGUGGCGUACGGGUGAGUAACACGUGGGUAAUCUGCCUUAGAGUGGGGAAUAACCAGUCGAAAGAUUGGCUAAUACCGCAUAAGACCACAGUAUCAGCGGAUCUAGGGGUUAAAGGAGUAAUUCGCUCUAAGAUGAGCCCGCGCGGGAUUAGCUAGUUGGUGAGGUAAUGGCUCACCAAGGCUACGAUCUCUAACUGGUCUGAGAGGAUGAUCAGUCACGCUGGAACUGAGACACGGUCCAGACUCCUACGGGAAGCAGCAGUAGGGAAUAUUGCGCAAUGGGGGAAACCCUGACGCAGCGACGCCGCGUGAGUGAUGAAGGACUUCGGUUCGUAAAGCUCUGUCGCAGGGGAAUAAAUUCGAAUGUACCCUGUAAGAAAGGACCGGCUAACUUCGCGCCAGCAGCCGCGGUAA
rnacentral:rRNA from 1 species